ACCUGGGUGGCUCAGUCGGUUGAGCGUCUGACUUCGGCUCAGGUCACGAUCUCACGGUUCGUGAGUUCGAGCCCCGCGUCAGGCU
rnacentral:tRNA from 1 species